GCGCUAGAAGUGAUGUCACGUGUCUCUCUUUGCCGCCGCCGUGCCGUCUGCUCGCUUCGCGUGCGCAUGCGCUAGCAGACAGCGUUUUGUUUGCCUGAGGAUGGGAUUUGUGGUUUUUUGUGGUAGCGGUGAAGCAACUUUGCCAAGUAUUCCGUUCAAGUUCCUCGCUGGAUGUCCCGCUCGUCCGUCGAUGUUCAACAGGUGAGGGGACGUUUCAGCAACGCCUGCGAGUUUCAUGAUGCAACAAGUGCCAGUCCACUUUUUCUCAGCUCACCCUAUCAGUCCAGGCAGCAGCAGCACCAUGUGUAUGUACAUAACUUCCAAGUGAAUUAAGACGCACGAGUGCAAUUCUGAAGCUGAUUUUCAGGCAUGGAGAGAAGAAAUGCGCAGGACGCAGCCAAGAGUCAUUUUACUAAAGGCACAGGGGUAAAAAGAUCGAAAGAUGGAAGUUUAAAGUGUUAUUAUAUUUGUAACUGAUCAGGCGCUUUUAUAGAGAGGACACAUCAAAGGAAAUAAUGUCCAUCAAAUCACAAGGUUCCGUCAGGCGUGGGGACACCUGCCUUGCUGAUAUGUCUGCAAUGUUCCAAACUGGCAAGGUCUCGUUUGUCUUCCAAUCUUCCUAUUAUGCACAUGAUUUUGGGGCUGUCCCACACCCCACUGACAAGAACAGAGGAAGAUGCAAUAGAGGCGCCCCGUAGCAGGCAUAUGCAGGCACUUGUAAAACACUAUGUUGUACUGGAAUGUCCUUUUUUUACCUUCAAGAAACUAUUUGUUUAUGUUAGGGAAACUAUGUGACGGCAUUGCACUCGGCGUACUAUGCAGCUCAGUAUUCGGGGUGUGCUGGAUGGCACGUUUCAAAGGAUCCAAUUCACCUCACUACAAGGCAGUACUUGUACACCACCAUGAGGGACUAUAAUAUAUGUUACGGUGAGAGGAAACACGACGACAAUCAAAACAGUGUUGCCCUGUUCAGUUCUAUCAGAGCCCAAACAAACAGUCCAGUGCUUUUCUUCAAGCAGCAAGGCGAGAAGGAUGACCCUACUGUCUUUCAACGAGGAAACACUGACUUGUUGCAAGAUGAGGAUUUUUUGUUAGUGCUCAUGACAGGUGUGCAAAAACAAAUGUCAAGGCAUUUGGGCACUGAGAAAGUGUGCGUAGAUUCUACACACGGCACCACAGGUGGGUCAUUCUAUGUAUACUGCCACUUCAUGCAUUUUGGUUAAAGGUUCAGGUGAAAAGGUUUACAGUAAUGCAUGCUCUCCUGCACUAUGACUUUUAAAGUAGCACAGAAGCCAUUUUUAACAUCCUGUUUUCUUCCUAUAAAACUGUUAAGUAGGCCAGUAAGAUGCACCAUGCGAAGUAAUUCACACCACAGAGUCAUAAUUAUCCCAGAAAUUUAAUGUAAAAUGCGCCGCAAAUAGCGGCCGUGCGCAACCAGAGAAGAGCAGUACCAGCCUGUGAUCAGCCUGGAACCUCGCGCGGGCGGUAUAAGGAGGACGCUCGCUGAUUGGUCUAGAGAAAUGUUGUCUGCUACUCCGCUGUCGUCUGCUAUUCGGCUGUUCCGGGUUCUGAAAAAGCCUUUUUCCUGGCUCGGUAAUGAUUCAUCCGCUCCUUCUAUUCCAAAUUCUCCGGGAGAACUGGCAAAACUGGUUUACGGUGGCAAAGGGACAAGGCGCUGACCUCCACUGACCGGCGAACCACAACGAGUUCUCCUUAUAACGUCAUCGGUGAUGUGGCAUCAUACCUUCUCAUCCUCAUUAUACCUGGAGUGGCGAGCUAUGGGUGAACGCGCAGGGCCAUGUUUAUGUGAGUUUUUUUCUGGGAAACAAAUUGCACACAUCAAAACCCUUUGCGCUAUUCGGUGAAAUGACACACACGCUUUCAUCAGACGCCUUAAUCUGAAAUUUUUUUCGAUGGCACUCUGUACUCCUUUAAAGUGAAGACCAUAUCCUACAUUUUGAGCUUUGUUUGGAAGCUGUUACAGCAUGUAAAUAUAUUUAAGUGUGGGUAUGUACCUGGACACAUAGGUGGCACUUUGUAUGACUCCUAUAAAGAGCUCUGAUUUGAGAAAUUCAUGUCUUAUAGAAAAAAGAAUGCGGUUAACAUGCUGCCAACAUUACAAGUACAACUUGUCACUCGCUGCAGUCUGCAUUUUAUGUUCCGCUUUUAUUCUAUAUGCUUUAUUCCUGUCCUGUACUGAGUACUCUCCUGCAAUAUGACAAAACAUUCACAAAACUUCCAGUUGAUUGCUGCCUACUUUCAGAAUUUGUUAUUACAUAUUUCUCUGUGUUCCAUCAACUGAUGGUGCAUGGGAACCUUAGGUUUCUUUAAGCAUCGGGAAAAGACUGCCCUGUCUGUGUGCAUUGUCUCGUUGUGACAGUUUAUUAUUAUUACAUGUUGUAACAGCUUUAUGUAUCCCUUUUAAAGAAAGCUUUCGAUCUUGCAGGAAGGUACUCAUGAUUUCGUCUUCUGCUCUUGUUCAAGGAAGGGUAACAGUAAUGGUAACGGAAACAGAAACGGUAUAUUACCGAAAUUGGAGAUGGUAACGAUAAUGGAAACGCAUAUCACUGUGCUCCAUUACCGGAAAUAGAAACGGAAACGAAAAAUUAUCAUCCGGUAUUGAAUUCGGGUAAUGGCUAUUACUGUUGUGCAAUGACAUUUCAGUGGCUUUUAAUUUUAUUUUUGUAUUUUGAUGACAUUCCCUAUAAUACUCUAAAUACUACACGACAGCAUGGAAACAAAGCGCAAUGUUGGAUAUCGACUGUGCAUUACUCGCUUACCGACUCGUGACAUUACCUGUAUGGCAUCGAGACAUUAGACUUAAACAACAUAGAUUCCACGCACUCUACUCCACCAUAGCACGAGGAUGACAGCAUAUGAUUUUUAUUAUUUUUAUUUUUUACUUUCUUCUUUUCACCGUGGCAAUGGCAGUAUUGUUUACGACUGAGAGUGUCCACCUAUGAAUGCGACAUUGGAUGAAGGUUACGCCCAUCCUGGGUUGCUGGACUCAGAGUGACUGGAGACAGAGCUUGGCAGACUUUUGAGCUUGGUCUGGGGUAUAUUACAGCAGGUAAAUACAUUUAAGUGUGGUGACAUACAUACACAUAACACAUAUAAUUGGCAAUUUGUAUAUCCUAUAAAGUGCUCUGACCUGAGAAAUCUUGUCGAAAAAAUUGUGUUAAUAUUCUGCCAAUAAGAAGUGGAAUAAACUUUCCACUCACUGCACUAGGCAGUUUGUUUUAUUCUGUGUGUUUAUAUCUCUCCAGUACUGAGUACUCUCUUGCAAUAUAACGAGGCAGCUGCCCCCUGACUGAUGGUAUUGUUUUCUUCAGCUGCAACAGAUGCUUUUUACCAUGAAAAUACUAACAUCAGUUGGCAUUGCACGCAUAAAGCCUUGGUGAGCUCAAAGCCGCUGUGUGUAUUCUUGUGAAUGAUUUAUCUAAGGAAAUGUACACCCUUCCAACAACCACGAGCAAACUCUUCAUGACUAUAUAACGCAUAAUUAUUUAAUUAGAUUAAAGGACUAAUAUAUUGCCAUCACACCAGCUCAAUUGCAGUCUUUCGUUAUCAUCAAAAGUAUGAUGACUAAUAAGUAUGAUGAAGUAUGAUGCUGGGGUACAUGACUCUCAUCAACAUUCUGAUAAUGUAAUCCACAUACAAUGCUCAGUCAUUUUUAAAUUUUUCAUGCACAUCAGUACGCCUUGUAUAUUCAAGUUUGCUCCUAUCUUGUCUCACGCUAGCGUUUGCUAUCCGUGCGGUAGCCAGAAAAUAUUAUGGGAGGUUCUAUGGGAGGUUCACACAACUUGGUUGAUUCAUUUUAUCAAGCUUUGUUUCACACCUCAAGGAAACGCUCUUCGGUAACCUCAGUGAGCCAAACACGCAGUCCAGGUCCAGUUUUGGAUAUUUUUACUGGUCUCGUUAGCAAUACAUUGUUCCAAAAUACCACAAAUUCCAGCUGGACACCAUAUCAAUGAGCCUGUUGGCUUGCACUUCAUCGGAGCGGCCCCCUGCUGGCUAGCAGGAAGGUAUCGAAUAAGAAACACGUGACUGGCUGUUCUGUGCACCUCUCAGUGUGUGUGGCCGCUUCUGUUUGCUGCUAGGGUGUCACUCCCAUAAAGAAAUGCAACACCCCGAUGCUCCAUAAACUUUUGUCCCAAUCUGUUCGAAUAUUGAUGCACAGAUGGUGUGAAGAAAGCCAUAGCAGCAGGGCAGUUUUCAGAAGCAGCUUUUCAACCAGAUUCCAAGAGUGUGCCAAGCAGCAGGAAAUACACCCAGCCAGAGGAUUUCUGUUGAAUUCAUGCUUAAGGACCUUCACAUCUACAUCAUUUACUCAUGAAUGCAGCACUGUCAUGUGACAACGCAUGACAGUCCAUUAAUGCUUUGAACAUGAAUUGAGCUUUACCCUCUGGUUGGGCGUGAAACAAUGAAUCUUUCAACAGCUCAUGACCCAUUUGGGGGUCAUAACCCACAGUUUGAGAAACACUGCUCUACGCAUUCGUUCCAACAAUAAUCUGGCAUCCUUCAAAAACACCAUCAAACAGGACUUUUCUGCUGAUACGUAGGGUGACAUGCAAUUACUUUUUGACUAUGUGCAUUUCUCUGCUGUGCAAUAUCUUUGCUAUUUGUUUCUUAUACUUGUCGUGUGUUCUUGGUAUUUCUGUUCCCCUCAAAUUGUGUAGACAUUUGCAUUGACUGUGUCUUGGACUGUUCAACAGGGCUUGCCCAGUAUCAGUAUCAGAGUAUACUGUCAUGAAAUAACAAUAAAAACCUGAAAACUGAAAAAAAAAAAAAUCAUCUGAAACACAUCUGUCUGACUGAUUCCUCUAACAAUCUCCUCACAAAUGCUCGAUGAAUGAUAGUUCAUGUAACCACUCCUCUGGUUGCAUGGCACAGAAUAUGCACCUUGAAGAUGUGGACAGAAACAAGCUGUAACAGGGCGAGGAAGUUUAGAUGAUGUGGUGAACCUAUGAGUUUGUUGUUGCCUUGAAUGGGCCAUCAUCGCUCAGAGGUAAAACUUAUUUAUGUUGACUACUGCCUUCAAAGUCUAACUAUACUAAGGCAUACUAUAAAUUACUAUAUAGUCUAACUAUACUACUACAAAUUUUUUGUUCUGCACUUUUCUUGGUACACCGGAGUUCACCCAAAUGACUUUCUUAAGCAUUUUUGCAAGAGCAGCCUUUUGGGAAGAAAUAGGCAGCAAAAUCUCAAAUUGGGACACUGACCUGACCGAGCAGUGUUUGUUAGUUGUCGAGGUUGUACAAUGUACAGCUUGGUACAAAUGUUUACGGACCACCAUGGUGUCACAUUUCUCCAUUGGAGUGACACCCUACCAUCAAACAAGAGCGGACGCACAUACUGAGAGAUAGACCCGUUUCUUAUUCGAUCUUUUGCUGGUAGCUGGCAGGGGACCGCUCCGAUGAAGAAAAGCGCAGUGCCGUGAACUUUUGUCUCGGGCUGUACACGCUGUUGUGUUGUACUCAUACAAAUUCUGAACUGCAAUCUUUGGAAAUUUGAAACCAUUAUGCCUUAACUGUCGGCUCUGAUCAUGAGCGAGAUGGGGCCCCGGAGCAUACGUCCCGUUAUGUCCUGGAACUUUGCCAGUCUGGAACGUUGCAGACGAAUCAUCAAUGCAGGUUACCCCACGCCUAACGGAACCUUAUGAUUUUAUGGACCUUUUUUCUUUGAUGUUCUUCUCUGUAAAAGCACCCGAUCAG